UACGUAGGGUGCAAGCGUUGUCCGGAAUUAUUGGGCGUAAAGAGCUCGUAGGCGGUUUGUCGCGUCUGCUGUGAAAACUCAGGGCUUAACCCUGAGCUUGCAGUGGGUACGGGCGGACUAGAGUGCGGUAGGGGAGACUGGAAUUCCUGGUGUAGCGGUGAAAUGCGCAGAUAUCAGGAGGAACACCGGUGGCGAAGGCGGGUCUCUGGGCCGUAACUGACGCUGAGGAGCGAAAGCAUGGGGAGCGAACAGG
rnacentral:rRNA from 1 species